ACGUUUGAUAAGCAAACCACCCGAAAUGGUGGGACGCAAAGCCACUGGCCUAAGUCUCAGGUCAGGGUACUGAGAUAUGGUAGCAGGGCUGCCGGG
rnacentral:ncRNA from 1 species